UGCUCUGGUGUGUGCAUAUACUAACAAAGCAGUUGUUUAGACUUACUCAAUUGGCUACUUCUGGAUAUUUUUGUAGACCAGAACUUAAGAAAUGUGAUCUGGGAAAUUAUAAUUACUUCAUGGCACCACUUUAGAAAAGAGAAAGUCUAGGAUCCCAAAUGCUUCCAUUUAGUUUCUGCUGAAACUACAAUGACCUCUAAAUUUUUUAAGUGCAGGAUAAGAUGGCAUCUGUUGUAUAAGAAAGAAAGAAAUAAACCUAAAACUGAGACUUGGAUGAUCAUUUUCUCUGUAGAGGGGGAAAAAUCUCUGUUCAUAAUAUAUAGAGUUGCAGUCUCUGCACCUGCAACAAACACUGAAGGAAAAUUGCUCUGUUGAGAAGGAGAUUCUUAGUUAUUUACCAUCUUUACUCCUCUAAGAGAAUAUGUAAAAUCCACAUUUCUCAAUACUAGGCAUUACAUUUAUUCUGUUAAUAGCAGAUUUAAUAAAAAGAGUUGAGACAUGUUAAGUAAUUUUAAAAAAAUCAGUUAUACAACAUAAGAGAUUAAACAUCCAGUUUUUGCUUUAUGAGGAAAAAGCUUCUCUACUUGGAGUGUGAUAGAGCACUGGAGAAAUCUGCCCAAGGAGGUAGUGCAGUCUCUGUGGAGGUAAUCCAAACCCUCCUGGAUUGUUCUUGUGUCUCUUGCUCAGGUGUUCCUGCCUUGGCAGAGCACUGGAUCUCCGUGAGGUCCAGAGGCCCCUUCCAUCCCCAGCCAUUCCUUAGUUCUCUAAUACUAAUUUCAGUUGAGCAGAAAGCUUAGUCAGUUGGAAAAAAGAGUUUCAAGUUGCUUUUGAAAAUUAAAUGACAAGUUAUCUUAUCACUUAAAUGUAUUUGAAAAUUUUAACCAUGAUAGCUUUUUAAUUUCAAGGAUUCUUCAGGUCCCACCAACUUUAAAUGCAUUGCCAUAACUUUUUUUUCCCCACCAUUCCAACAUAAAUAAUUUUAACUUCACCAAAAGAAAUUCUUCAGUUAGGAAAUAUCAGUUUCUUGAAGUAUUGGCUUGAAUAAGACUGUAAGCUAACUAAAAUUCAUUGAGUUAAUUUUUUAUUGACAACUUGGGUUAUAAGUGUUGAUGUUGUUUCCAGUUCUGGUAAAUAAAAAUAUCUGUCCAAAAUGACUGAUUAUGAACUAAGGUGAGUAAAAUGAUUGUGCAUAACAUCUGCUUUCCCUCUUUUCUUAUCUUCAUAAACUUUGUUAACCAAACUGACUUCUUUUUAUAGGUUAUUUCAUGCAAAGGAGAUAUAUAGUAGGCAGUCAGUCUGUGUUGCUGUGGUUUGCUUUUCUAUUUAGGUUUCUAGGUGUCAUUUGCCUUCAUUAGAUAAAACAUUUGUAUUUUCAAUGCAAUAGUUGAAAACUUUUCAAAAACUUUUUUUUUUUUUGCUAAUGGCUUUCUUGUUAUUUUAUGUUUAUGUUUAAUUUUGCCUAGAUUUUUCUCAGGAUUAAAGAUGAAAAGUAAUGGCUUUGCAAGAUCUAUAUUCAGUUGAGUGGAAAAUUAAAUUUGGGUUGAUUUUUUCUUUCUUUUCUUUGUUUUUUUUUUGUUUGUUUGGUUGGGGGUUUUUUUGUGUGUUUGUUUUUUGGGUUUUUUUGGUUUUUUGGAAGGAGCAGACUUGUGUUUGGAAAGCAUCCUUUCAGUUUUUUGCUCUGAUUGUUUGAACAUGAUUCACAAAAACUCUCAGUGAAAAAUACAUCCUUUCAUUCUUGUGCCAUGCUCAGAUCAGGUGCAGUAGCAACUGUGCCCCUGUUAAAUGUGACCAGAUAAGCUCAGUACAUGUCAUCCAAUUGGCUGUGGUAAACAAAAGCAGGAGGUGGACAUGAAUAUCCAUUUUAUCAGGUUUAUAUGUAGGUUUUAUUCUCGUUACCACAGUUAGGUCAAUAAAUGCAUCACAGUUUACAAUGCUUUCAGGGCACCAAAAUUGUCAUCACACUUAGUUUUUCUCUGGUACAGUUCUUACUUGAGUGAUCUUGCCUACCUCUAGUCAGGUAAGUACAAUUGUGCUGGUAAUCAGGGAUUGUUGCUGUUUGGCAUCGUUAGACACUUGUCAGUUGUUUUAACUUGGCAAGCGUAUGCUGAAACAUUUGCUGAUAAAAUGUGUUAAAAUUCUGCAAUUAAAAAGAGAAAAAAAAAA